GCUGAAUGUGGGGAUAAUUUAUCUCCGUGUUGUAGCUAACGCGUAUAGCACUCCGCCUGGGGACUACGGUCGCAAGACUAAAACUCAAAGGAAUUGACGGGGACCCGCACAAGCGGUGGAGCAUGUGGUUUAAUUCGAUGCAACGCGAAAAACCUUACCACUCCUUGACAUGGAGAUUAGAUCCUUCUUAACAGAAGGGCGCAGUUCGGCUGGAUCUCGCACAGGUGCUGCAUGGCUGUCGUCAGCUCGUGUCGUGAGAUGUUGGGUUAAGUCCCGCAACGAGCGUAACCCUCAUCCUUAGUUGCCAGCGGGUAAGCCGGGCACUUUAAGGAAACUGCCGGUGGUAAACCGGAGGAAGGUGGGGAUGAUGUCAAGUCAGCACGGCCCUUAUGGGGUGGGCUACACACGUGCUACAAUGGUGACUACAAUAGGUUGCAAUGUCGCAAGGCUGAGCUAAUCCGUAAAAGUCAUCUCAGUUCGGAUUGUCCUCUGCAACUCGAGGGCAUGAAGUCGGAAUCGCUAGUAAUCGUGGAUCAGCAUGCCACGGUGAAUACGUUCUCGGGUCUUGUACACACUGGCCGUCACCCCAUGGGAAUUGGCUUAACUCGAAGCUGGUGCCCUAACCGAAAGGAAGCAGCCAU
rnacentral:rRNA from 1 species